UUCGCCCUUUUCCGGUUGAUCCCGCCGGAAGCUACUGCUAUCGGGAUUCGAUUAAGCCAUGCGAGUCGAGAGGGUUCGGCCCUCGGCUGACGGCUCAGUAACACGUGGAUAACCUGCCCUCAGGUAGGGGAUAAUCUCGGGAAACUGAGGAUAAUACCCUAUAGACAUCCUUUGCUGGAAUGCUUGGAUGUUCAAAGGCGACGCCUGAGGAUGGGUCUGCGGCCUAUCAGGUAGUAGUGGGUGUAACGGACCCACUAGCCUACGACGGGUACGGGCCUUGAAAGAGGUAGCCCGGAGAUGGACUCUGAGACACGAGUCCUGGCCCUACGGGGCGCAGCAGGCGCAAAAACUUCGCAAUGCGGGAAACCGUGACGAGGGAAUCCCGAGUGCUCAUACAAUGUAUGGGCUUUUAUGAUGUGUAAAGAGCAUUAGGAAUAAGGGCUGGGUAAGACCGGUGCCAGCCGCCGCGGUAAUACCGGCAGCUCUAGUGGCA
rnacentral:rRNA from 1 species